rnacentral:misc_RNA from 1 species
GAACGCACAUUGCACCCGGUGGCAUUCCGCCGGGUAUGCCUGUUCGAGCGUCAUUUCUUCCCUCGAACCCAGUCGUCUUAGGACCCCUGGGCUCGGUGUUGGAGAUUGCGGGCCGUCCCGCAGCUCCUAAAGACAUCGGCGUACGUGCUGUACAGCCCCCUGCGUAGUGGUGUUUUCAUUCAGCGCAUCGGGCCGCAGCGUCGCACUGCCGUGAAGCCAAUUUUCUGAAAUUUGACCUCGGAUCAGGUAGGGUUACCCGCUGAACUUA